rnacentral:misc_RNA from 1 species
UACAGAGACUGCAAGCGUUAUUCGGAUUCACUGGGCGUAAAGGGUGCGCAGGCGGCCAGGUGUGUAAGGUGUGAAAGCUUCGAGCUCAACUCGAAAAUUGCGCCUUAAACUACCUGGCUAGAGUUUUGGAGGGGUAAGCGGAAUUCUCGGUGUAGCGGUGAAAUGCGUAGAUAUCGAGAGGAACACCAAAGGCGAAGGCAGCUUACUGGACAAAAACUGACGCUCAGGCACGAAAGCGUGGGGAGCAAAAGGG